GCGUGCUUAACACAUGCAAGUCGAACGAUGAAGCCCUUCGGGGUGGAUUAGUGGCGAACGGGUGAGUAACACGUGGGCAAUCUGCCCUUCACUCUGGGACAAGCCCUGGAAACGGGGUCUAAUACCGGAUACGACUGCGGGAGGCAUCUCCUGCGGUGGAAAGCUCCGGCGGUGAAGGAUGAGCCCGCGGCCUAUCAGCUUGUUGGUGGGGUAAUGGCCUACCAAGGCGACGACGGGUAGCCGGCCUGAGAGGGCGACCGGCCACACUGGGACUGAGACACGGCCCAGACUCCUACGGGAGGCAGCAGUGGGGAAUAUUGCACAAUGGGCGAAAGCCUGAUGCAGCGACGCCGCGUGAGGGAUGACGGCCUUCGGGUUGUAAACCUCUUUCAGCAGGGAAGAAGCGAAAGUGACGGUACCUGCAGAAGAAGCGCCGGCUAACUACGUGCCAGCAGCCGCGGUAAUACGUAGGGCGCAAGCGUUGUCCGGAAUUAUUGGGCGUAAAGAGCUCGUAGGCGGCUUGUCACGUCGGGUGUGAAAGCCCGGGGCUUAACCCCGGGUCUGCAUCCGAUACGGGCAGGCUAGAGUGUGGUAGGGGAGAUCGGAAUUCCUGGUGUAGCGGUGAAAUGCGCAGAUAUCAGGAGGAACACCGGUGGCGAAGGCGGAUCUCUGGGCCAUUACUGACGCUGAGGAGCGAAAGCGUGGGGAGCGAACAGGAUUAGAUACCCUGGUAGUCCACGCCGUAAACGUUGGGAACUAGGUGUUGGCGACAUUCCACGUCGUCGGUGCCGCAGCUAACGCAUUAAGUUCCCCGCCUGGGGAGUACGGCCGCAAGGCU
rnacentral:rRNA from 1 species